UACGGAGGGUGCAAGCGUUUAAUCGGAAUUACUGGGCGUAAAGCGUGCGUAGGCGGUUCGUUAAGUCUGUUGUGAAAGCCCCGGGCUCAACCUGGGAAUGGCAAUGGAUACUGGCGAGCUAGAGUGUGUCAGAGGAUGGUGGAAUUCCCGGUGUAGCGGUGAAAUGCGUAGAGAUCGGGAGGAACAUCAGUGGCGAAGGCGGCCAUCUGGGACAACACUGACGCUGAGGCACGAAAGCGUGGGGAGCAACGGG
rnacentral:rRNA from 1 species